rnacentral:rRNA from 1 species
AAAGUUAUAACUCUAGGCUAAAACCACAUUCUAAAAAUUAAAGAACUUAAUAAAAGAAAAAAUUUACAGGUAUCAAAUGAAAAUAAUUUUAACAGUGAUCAAGCUCAACAGAAACAGUACCUAAAGGAAAGGGUGAAAUAAUAUUAAUAGUACAACUAAAUAAAGGAAAGCCUAAUACUUUUACCUUGUGUAUAAUGGAUUAACGACACCAAAGAAAAAAGAUUCUAUGCUCGAAACUUGGCGAGCUAACCCUAGUCUUCUUUUAGAGAAUAAACCUACUGUUGCAAUAGUAGGCUAAAAGAUUAGGUUAGAUGUGACAUACUAACCGCGCCCAGAGAUAGCUAGCUUCUAAGAAACUGGUCUAAGCUAGGCUUUUGCUUCUAAAAUUUUAUACGUAUAUUAAACUAUAAAAUUAGUUUCUGUAUUUAGAUAGUAAAAAGUGAGGCCGUGUGGAUAAGCACGCGGCCCAAGAUGGAAAACCCCAAUCAUUUUAGAUAAAGACAAAAAACAUAAUAAAUAGUUUAAUUAAAACUAAGUAGGCCUAAAAGCAGCCACCUAAGAAAAAAGCGUUAAAGCUUCAUUAAGUAAAAAACUAAAAAAUUUAUGAAAAAUUUUCUAACUCUAAACUCAGCUUAUUAGGAAUUUUUAUUUUUAAAAGAUAUAAUGUUAAUAUGAGUAAGUAACUUCUCACCUGAUUUUUAAACAAAAUUAACCUUGAAUAACAAAAUAUUUAUUCUAAAAAAAUUAUCUUUUUAUUUUGUCUUCCAACACAGGAGAGAAAAAAUGAAGUAAAAAAAUAAGAAGAACUCGGCAAAUAUUAGUUUCGCCUGUUUACCAAAAACAUCGCCCCCCGAUCACUUUAUUUAUAUGGGGGGUCCUGCCUGCCCAGUGACUAUUAGUUAAACGGCCGCGGUAUCUUGACCGUGCGAAGGUAGCAUAAUCACUUGUCUCCUAAAUAGAGACUAGUAUGAAUGGCAAGACGGAGCUUAACUGUCUCCUUUUUUUUCUCAUAAAUUCACUUUCCCGUGAAGAGGCGGGAAUUUGCUCGCUAGACGAGAAGACCCUGUCGAGCUUAAAGAAGUUCUUAGGUUAAAAUUUACCCUAACAUCUUACUAAUUAAUAUAGCUAUAAGAGUUAAGAUUUUUAGUCCCAAGGAUACUUUUGGUUGGGGCAACCACGGAGAAAAUAAAUCCUCCGUUUACUAUAUUCAAAAUGUUUAAUAAUAAGAAGUACACUUCUAUAAUAAAUAAAAUUUAAUAUGUGACCCGCUUAUUUAGGCGAUUAAAGGAAUAAGUUACCGCAGGGAUAACAGCGUUAUCUUUUUUGAGAGUUCACAUUGACAAAAAGGUUUGCGACCUCGAUGUUGGAUCGGGACAUCCUAAGAGUGCAGAAGCUUUUAAGGGUUGGUCUGUUCGACCAUUAAAGUCCUACGUGAUCUGAGUUCAGACCGGCGAGAGCCAGGUCAGUUUCUAUCUACGAGAGCUUCUUUCUUAGUACGAAAGGACCAGAAAGAGAAUGUCCAUGCAAAAAAUGUAAACAUUAACAAAUUAGAAC